rnacentral:rRNA from 1 species
CCCUCAGUAACGGCGAGUGAAGAGGGAAGAGCCCAGCACCGAAGCCUGUGGCCGUUUGGCCCCUAGGCAAUGUGGUGUUCAGGUUAGCUCGCGGGGAUGCUGCUCCACCCUAAGUCCUAAAAUGAGUAAGGUUACUCGGACGUGGCCCAUUGAGGGUGAAAGGCCCGUGGGGGUGGAGAGUCAGACUGGCCAGUAUCUCCCUGAGCAGACCUUGGAGUCGGGUUGUUUGUGAAUGCAGCCCAAAGUGGGUGGUAAACUCCAUCCAAGGCUAAAUACUAGCACGAGUCCGAUAGCGAACAAGUACCGUGAGGGAAAGUUGAAAAGUACUUUGAAGAGAGAGUAAACAGUGCGUGAAGCCGUUCAGAGGUAAACGGGUGGAGUUGAACUGCAAGCUCUGAGGAUUCAACUGGUGAGAUUGGCGUGAGCUUGGUCACGUGGGUUGUAUUGCUGUGUCUGCUUAGCUGCAGGUCCUCGCCUCGGUGGGGAUGCGCGUCUAGCUUAUCAAGCUUUGCGCGCACGGCGGUUCUCGAGCCCGCUUGCCAGUGCACUUUCUCAGAGUGUUCACCACGACCGGCGUUGCUGUCUGGCUGAUGUGGUUAAACCGGUCUUGUAGGGUCCUUGUGGCCUUGCUUGGUCGGGAUGGCAGGUAGCCCGUUGUGUAUUUAUAUGCUUCGGGUGUAAUAGCCGACUGCAUUGGUUCUGUGCGGUACGUCGGAGACGGCGGCUUGUUGUGCGUGCGGGCGUGCCUGUGUGCUGGCGGCUCUGGGUCUGGUUGCCUUGUUGCUUGCGAAUGCAGGCCAGGUGAUGGCUCGGGGUCGUUUGGUGUGCGGUUGCGUUCGUGGCACUUUGAAAGGGCCCACAGUCUGUGGUGUAGUGGUAGACUAUCCACCCGACCCGUCUUGAAACACGGACCAAGGAGAGUAACAUGUGCGCGAGUCAUUGGGCGUUACGAAACCCAAAGGCGUAGUGAAAGUAAAGGUUCGGCUUGUCUGGACUGAGGUGAGAUCCUGUCGUUUCCCACGCAUGGUACUACCAAGCAUCGAGCGGCAGGCGCAUCACCGGCCCGUCCCAUGACGUAGUGGUGGCUUCGGCUUGCCCAUCGUCGGGGCGGAGCAUGAGCGUACAUGUUGAGACCCGAAAGAUGGUGAACUAUGCUUGCGCAGGUUGAAGCCAGAGGAAACUCUGGUGGAGGACCGCAGCGAUUCUGACGUGCAAAUCGAUCGUCAAACGUGAGUAUAGGGGCGAAAGACUAAU